AAAAUAAUAGUGAAGACAUCAAAACUAUGAAAUAACACAUAUGGAAUAAUGUAGCAACCAAAAAAGCGUUAAACAAAUGAAAAUCUAUUUUAGAUAUUAGAUUCUUCAAAGUAGCCACUCUUUGCCUUGAUGACAGCUUUGCACUCUUGGCGCUCUCUCAACCAGCUUCAUGAGGUAGUCACCUGGAAUGCAUUUCAAAUCUUUUGUUUUUAAUCCCAUCCUUCAGCUACCAUCAACCCCUCCCAUCUACCAUUCAGAACAGAGGCGUGAUGAGUCUGGAGGAUCUGUGACCAUGACAACGAGGAGUUCAAACAAAUCCACACGGACUACAAGUCCCACUGUGGAGACUCUCUCUCUCUCCUCCCUCUGUUCUCUCUCCCACUCUCACUUUCCUGCUCGUCUCUCUCUUUCCUGCUCUUCUCUCUGUUUCUCCCUCUUUUUCCUUCCCUCUCUCUUUUUCCCUCUCUCUAUCAGGGGGUGAAGCUAUGGAAAAUCUCUCAUGGCAGGACUCAUGGCCCUCAAUAUACUGGAGAACUUUCCCAUCAAAGGAAUCAAAAAGAAAUGACCACACAAGGCCACCUGUUAGUCUCAGUGAGGAUCUUGGGUUGACCCAUCUCGGCGUUCCACAACAAACAGCCAACACUGGGUCUGCUCCAGAACCGUUGCAACAUGGUGUAUCCGGAGGCAGAGUAUGUGAGUGGAGUGGAGCAAGAAGUGGAGUGGAGCAAGAAGUGGAGCUGGAGCGGAGCAGGGACUGGAGCUGGAGCGGAGCAGGGAGUGGAGCUGGAGCGGAGCAGGGACUGGAGCUGGAGCGGAGCAGGGAGUGGAGCUGGAGCGGAGCAGGGACUGGAGCUGGAGCGGAGCAGGGACUGGAGCUGGAGCGGAGCGAGGAGUGGA
rnacentral:lncRNA from 1 species